AGCUUUGCGCAGUGGCAGUAUAGUAGCCAAUGAGGUUUAUCUGAGGCACGAUUAUUACUAAUUGAAAAUUCCUCUGCUAAUCA
rnacentral:snRNA from 1 species